rnacentral:rRNA from 1 species
UAGGGAAUAUUGGACAAUGGGCGAAAGCCUGAUCCAGCAAUGCCGCGUGAGUGAUGAAGGCCUUAGGGUUGUAAAGCUCUUUUACCCGGGAUGAUAAUGACAGUACCGGGAGAAUAAGCCCCGGCUAACUCCGUGCC